CCCUUAGAUGUUCUGGGCCGCACGCGUGCUACACUGAGUGGAUCAGCGGGUCAGGUUGCGCGAAAGCGUUUCCUAAUCUUUAAAUCCGCUCGUGAUGGGGAUUGACGGUUGCAAUUUUCUGUCAUGAACGAGGAAUACCUUGUAAGCGCGGGUCAUCAUCCCGCGCUGAUUACGUCCCUGCCCUUUGUACACACCGCCCGUCGCACCUACCGAUUGGAUGGUCCGGUGAAGCCUCGGGAUUGUGGUUCUUGCCGCUUUAUUGUGGCGUGACCGCGAGAACUUGUCUAAACCUUAUCAUCUAGAGGAAGGUGAAGUCGUAACA
rnacentral:rRNA from 1 species